UUACAUUUUCAGUAAUACAGCUAUUAGGUGAAAAAAUUUCGUUUAAAGCAUUUUUAAAAAUAAAUAUUAACAAAAAGACACAAUGAAAAAGUAGUCAAGAAUACAAAAAACAAUUUAUUAUUAGUCAGUAACGUUCAAAAUCUGGGACCAAAAACAAAACAUUUUCAAUACUUCAUGCAUUUAUAGGGUGGUCUGAGGAGGGAGAGGUGCAUUCAUCUUCCUAGGAAAACUUUGUACUACAUUGGGACUCCCAAGAGAAUGAAACUGAACGUGCCCACUUCCGCACACCGCACCCUCUGAUCCCUCUUUGUUACACCAUUGAUUAGAAUACUAAUGAAUACCAGUGCAGACCGAGAUGUAUUAAAUGAAAACCAUCGUAACCCAAUGGCAGAUAGUAGUAGAAGAAAUAUUAUACGGAAAUAAUUAUUUCAAAUACAACAGCUCAAUUUUACAUGACAGUGAAAUUAUGAUAAAAGAGUUUCUGGAUAUUUAGACAACUACAAAUGCGUGCUACGAAGUGUGUUGUAAUCGAAAUGACAGCUGAAUCAAGAAGGGUUGAUCAAUUCCACUUUUUUGAUUUGACACUUCCUUGCUAGCUAUAAUGUGAUGAAAAUAGGAAAGGUUCUAAAAUAUGUCAAUGUAAAAAUUUGAUAACACAUAAAAUAAUUAUUUAUUGCAUUAUAAUUAAUAGUAGAUUUUAAGGACUAAUAUUCUUCCCCGAAAUUAUUGUAAUA